rnacentral:rRNA from 1 species
AGCAGCCGCGGUAAUUCCAGCUCCAACAGCGUAUAUUAAAGUUGUUGCAGUUAAAAAGCUCGUAGUUGAAUUGAGGGAUUGACGUGACGGUCGUGCCUUACGGGGUAUGAACUGUUGCUGUUGAUUUUUCUCACCUUCUGGAGAAACUUGAUGUCCUUAAUUGGGUGUCUUGCGGAUCCAGGACCUUUACCUUGAAAAAAUUAGAGUGUUUAAAGCAGGCAUUUUGCUCGAAUACAUUAGCAUGGAAUAAUAGAAUAGGACGGCAUGGUUCUAUUUUGUUGGUUUCUAGGAUCACCGUAAUGAUUAAUAGGGAUAGUUGGGGGCAUUAGUAUUCAAUUGUCAGAGGCGAAAUACUUGGAUUUGUUGAAGACUAAUUACUGCGAAAGCAUUUGCCAAGGAUGUUUUCAUUAAUCAAGAACGAAAGUUAGGGGAUCGAAGACGAUCAGAUACCGUCGUAGUCUUAACCAAUAAACUAUGCCGACUAGGAAUCAGACGAUGUUAAUUUUUAAUGUAUUCGUU